rnacentral:rRNA from 1 species
AGAGCGAACGCUGGCGGCAGGCUUAACACAUGCAAGUCGAGCGCCUGUAGCAAUACAGGAGCGGCAGACGGGAGAGUAACACGUGGGAACGUACCUUUCAGUUCGGAACAACCAAGGGAAACUUUGGCUAAUACCGAAUACGCCCGUAAGGGGAAAGAUUUAUCGCUGAAAGAUCGGCCCGCGUCUGAUUAGCUUGUUGGUGAGGUAAUGGCUCACCAAGGCGACGAUCAGUAGCUGGUCUGAGAGGAUGAUCAGCCUCACUGGGACUGAGACACGGCCCAGACUCCUACGGGAGGCAGCGAGUGGGGAAUAGUUGGACAAGU